GACGAACGCUGGCGGCGUGUUUAACACAUGCAAGUCGAACGAAGUGGCGAACGGGUGAGUAACGCGUAAUCAACCUGCCCCUCAGAGGGGGACAACAGUUGGAAACGACUGCUAAUACCGCAUACUGAAGGAGGGGAUUGCGUCUGAUUAGCUAGUUGGUGGGGUAACGGCCCACCAAGGCGAUGAUCAGUAGCCGGUCGUGGAGGAUGGACGGCCACAUUGGGACUGAGACACGGCCCAGACUCCUACGGGAGGCAGCAGGGGGGAAUCUUCCGCAAUGGACGAAAGUCUGACAGGACAACGCCGCAUGAUUGAUGACGGCCUUCGGGUUGUAAAGCUCUGUUAGUCGGGACGCGGUACCGGAAUAGAAAGCCACGGCUAACUACGUGCCAGCAGCCGCGGUAAUAC
rnacentral:rRNA from 1 species